rnacentral:rRNA from 1 species
UGAGUUUGAUCCUGGCUCAGAUUGAACGCUGGCGGCAGGCCUAACACAUGCAAGUCGAACGGUAGCACAGAGAGCUUGCUCUCGGGUGACGAGUGGCGGACGGGUGAGUAAUGUCUGGGAAACUGCCUGAUGGAGGGGGAUAACUACUGGAAACGGUAGCUAAUACCGCAUAACGUCGCAAGACCAAAGAGGGGGACCUUCGGGCCUCUUGCCAUCAGAUGUGCCCAGAUGGGAUUAGCUAGUAGGUGGGGUAACGGCUCACCUAGGCGACGAUCCCUAGCUGGUCUGAGAGGAUGACCAGCCACACUGGAACUGAGACACGGUCCAGACUCCUACGGGAGGCAGCAGUGGGGAAUAUUGCACAAUGGGCGCAAGCCUGAUGCAGCCAUGCCGCGUGUAUGAAGAAGGCCUUCGGGUUGUAAAGUACUUUCAGCGGGGAGGAAGGUGUUGUGGUUAAUAACCGCAGCAAUUGACGUUACCCGCAGAAGAAGCACCGGCUAACUCCGUGCCAGCAGCCGCGGUAAUACGGAGGGUGCAAGCGUUAAUUGGAAUUACUGGGCGUAAAGCGCACGCAGGCGGUCUGUCAAGUGGAUGUGAAAUCCCCGGGCUCAACCUGGGAACUGCAUUCGAAACUGGCAGGCUAGAGUCUUGUAGAGGGGGGUAGAAUUCCAGGUGUAGCGGUGAAAUGCGUAGAGAUCUGGAGGAAUACCGGUGGCGAAGGCGGCCCCCUGGACAAAGACUGACGCUCAGGUGCGAAAGCGUGGGGAGCAAACAGGAUUAGAUACCCUGGUAGUCCACGCCGUAAACGAUGUCGAUUUGGAGGUUGUGCCCUUGAGGCGUGGCUUCCGGAGCUAACGCGUUAAAUCGACCGCCUGGGGAGUACGGCCGCAAGGUUAAAACUCAAAUGAAUUGACGGGGGCCCGCACAAGCGGUGGAGCAUGUGGUUUAAUUCGAUGCAACGCGAAGAACCUUACCUGGUCUUGACAUCCACAGAACUUAGCAGAGAUGCUUUGGUGCCUUCGGGAACUGUGAGACAGGUGCUGCAUGGCUGUCGUCAGCUCGUGUUGUGAAAUGUUGGGUUAAGUCCCGCAACGAGCGCAACCCUUAUCCUUUGUUGCCAGCGGUCCGGCCGGGAACUCAAAGGAGACUGCCAGUGAUAAACUGGAGGAAGGUGGGGAUGACGUCAAGUCAUCAUGGCCCUUACGACCAGGGCUACACACGUGCUACAAUGGCGCAUACAAAGAGAAGCGACCUCGCGAGAGCAAGCGGACCUCAUAAAGUGCGUCGUAGUCCGGAUUGGAGUCUGCAACUCGACUCCAUGAAGUCGGAAUCGCUAGUAAUCGUAGAUCAGAAUGCUACGGUGAAUACGUUCCCGGGCCUUGUACACACCGCCCGUCACACCAUGGGAGUGGGUUGCAAAAGAAGUAGGUAGCUUAACCUUCGGGAGGGCGCUUACCAC